rnacentral:rRNA from 1 species
AUUGAACGCUGGCGGCAGGCCUAACACAUGCAAGUCGAGCGGAUGAAGGGAGCUUGCUCCUGGCUUCAGCGGCGGACGGGUGAGUAAUGCCUAGGAAUCUGCCUGGUAGUGGGGGAUAACGUCCGGAAACGGGCGCUAAUCCCGCAUACGUCCUGAGGGGGAAAGUGGUGGAUCUUCGGACCUCACGCUAUCAGAUGAGCCUAGGUCGGAUUAGCUAGUUGGUGGGGUAAAGGCCUACCAAGGCGACGAUCCGUAACUGGUCUGAGAGGAUGACCAGUCACACUGGAACUGAGACACGGUCCAGACUCCUACGGGAGGCAGCAGUGGGGAAUAUUGGACAAUGGGCGAAAGCCUGAUCCAGCCAUGCCGCGUGUGUGAAGAAGGUCUUCGGAUUGUAAAGCACUUUAAGUUGGGAGGAAGGGCAGUAAGUGAAUACCUUGCUGUUUUGACGGUACCAACAGAAUAAGCACCGGCUAACUUCGUG